GAUGAACGCUGGCGGCGUGCCUAAUACAUGCAAGUCGAGCGAACGGACGAGAAGCUUGCUUCUCUGAUGUUAGCGGCGGACGGGUGAGUAACACGUGGAUAACCUACCUAUAAGACUGGGAUAACUUCGGGAAACCGGAGCUAAUACCGGAUAAUAUUUUGAACCGCAUGGUUCAAAAGUGAAAGACGGUCUUGCUGUCACUUAUAGAUGGAUCCGCGCUGCAUUAGCUAGUUGGUAAGGUAACGGCUUACCAAGGCAACGAUGCAUAGCCGACCUGAGAGGGUGAUACGACACAAUGGAACUGAGACACGGUCCAGACUCCUACGGGAGGCAGCAGUAGGGAAUCUUCCGCAAUGGGCGAAAGCCUGACGGAGCAACGCCGCGUGAGUGAUGAAGGUCUUCGGAUCGUAAAACUCUGUUAUUAGGGAAGAACAUAUGUGUAAGUAACUGUGCACAUCUUGACGGUACCUAAUCAGAAAGCCACGGCUAACUACGUG
rnacentral:rRNA from 1 species